CUCACACUCCCAGCUCCUGUCCCUCUAUCCUCUCAGGGACUCUGCUGCGCUAUGAGUGGUGAAUUGACUCUUCUCGGCUUGUGGCCCAUUCUGGACUACUGACUAAAGCGGUCCAGGCUGUUAGAUGAGAAGGUUUACGCUAUCAACGCUAUUUGGCCAUGGGGUCAGUGAAGAGGAAGAGGAUGAGUCUCUCACCCGGAACCUUCUCCCAACCUCUGCCUGAUG